GCCAGGUGGUUCAGCGGACAGAGGAUUGGAUUUGAAGUCAGGAAGAUUCAUGUUACAGAGUUUAAAUCUGUCCUCAGAUACUUAUUAGUGGGUCCCUAGGCUAAGGAGAAUAUCCUAAUGGACAAAGAAAAUGAAGAUGAUGAAAAAGAAAGGAAAUAAUUGAUGAAACAAGGAUUUAGAAAAAGAAGGAUUUCAACUAAGGACACAGGCAGAGUGAUUUGCCUUAACAAGAAGGAGGAACCCUUCUUCCUUAAUGGGAAGGAGAACACCAUGUGCAACCCUACUUCUCCCAGAUGGAGCUAAACCCUGUUUUAGUGAAUGGCCAGCUCCUCAUUGGAACGAACUACCUUUUCUCCCUCAUAGAAACAUGAUUAAUGGAGAACAUCUGUAAAGCUUUGGGAACCAUUUCCCCCAAGCAGGACAAUUUAAGCUUACAAUAGUUAUUAGAUGUUUUCUCAUGGACUUUUUGGCACAGGAGAAAUAUGAGUUAUGGAUAUGUUUUUAAAACCAGUCUAUCAACACUCUACUCUUAUUUCUUUUGAGUAGGCUGGGACCCAGAGGGGCUAGA